UUUCCCAUUCUUCCUUGGUCGCCAGCUCCCUCUCCCUACCGCCAACCAGAGGUUCGCAACCCCUGCUCUUCCCCGCCUUUUCGACGAAUCCGGUCGCCUAAGUGGCCGAGGAGGUCCCUGAGCCUGGCAUGCUCGCGAGCAUCCCAGCGUUAGGCUCUGUCGGAGGUGCGACACCUCCAUGCCCGUGCUCUUCUCCGUCCUUCGAAUCCGUUGGCCGAAGUGCCCAAGGAUGGGCUCGAGCUCGGCAUGCUCACGGGCGACCCAACGCGGAGGCCCGCAACAAGACAACAAGGAGCGGGGCGUGGGUGCGCAAAAACAUCUGGGCACAGUUCGAUGCCUCCACUGGUGUGCCUCUGUUUGAUGUUCUAUUCAAGAUUCCUGUACAGUUGCGUUAUUCAAGAUACAAUGGCACUCGAUGAUGCUUGCUAACAAGGUCUGCAAUGCAAUAUGCACUGGACUGUUGCUUGCCAGAUGACUGGAAGACGGAUAAAUUUGCUUGCAAGGCUCUUGAUGAUAUAUCCAUUUUCAUCAAAUUCUUAAGGGUAUGGUCAAUUGGAGAAGACAUUACUAUGACUACAAAGAUCUAUUUUUCAGGUGAUGAAUUGUAACCUUAUAUUCUUUAUUACUUGGAAUUGAAAAUCACUGAAAACAAUCCAUAAUUACUUUGGAGAGAAUAUUUUAUUCUUUUCUGUCUUGCUCUUGUUCAGCGUAGGAUGCAUAUCAAUUAUCACUAUCAUGGUAUAUUAUUGCCAUUGAGGAAUCUUCCCAUGUAGCAAAUUUACCUCGAAAGUACAAAACUUUGGCAGAUCACCAUCAGGUGCAGACAGGUACGUACAAUUAUACAAAAUUUAUGAUAAUUCAAGGCACUUCACGCCCAGGAAAGCAACAUUCAGGCAAGUCUCCAUCACUACAACUACAUCCACCAAGUUAAAGAAAAGGUUCCCAAGUCACCUCAAUAGCAAACUCAAAGGAAAAUAAUGGAUUCACACAGCUUUAAAGUAGGCAUUUCUGAAAAUAAAAUCAAAAUUGAAUUAGAACACAACUUACAAAAUUAAGGCUAUUGGGAAACAU